rnacentral:rRNA from 1 species
UACGAAGGGGGCUAGCGUUGCUCGGAAUCACUGGGCGUAAAGCGCACGUAGGCGGGUCCUUAAGUCAGGGGUGAAAUCCUGGAGCUCAACUCCAGAACUGCCUUUGAUACUGAAGAUCUUGAGUUCGGGAGAGGUGAGUGGAACUGCGAGUGUAGAGGUGAAAUUCGUAGAUAUUCGCAAGAACACCAGUGGCGAAGGCGGCUCACUGGCCCGAUACUGACGCUGAGGCACGAAAGCGUGGGGAGCAAACAGG